UGCAUCGAUGAAGAACGUAGCGAAAUGCGAUACGUAGUGUGAAUUGCAGAAUUCCGCGAAUCAUCGAGUCUUUGAACGCAAGUUGCGCCCGAGGCUUGUCCGAGGGCAUUUCCGCUAGAGCGUCACCGCGCCCCCCACCGAUCCACUCUCGCCGCGAGGCGACAGUCGGGUCGAGUGCAAGUGGCCGUCCCGGUUUACGGAGUGGUCUUCGCGAGAAGGCCAUACUGUUGAGGGUCGGCUGAAAUGGAUGGAAUUGGGCCGCCGUGGUGACACAGUCCGCGAUCGGGUGAUUUUGUCGCGAGCCUCCUCCGGGAGGCUCUUGGUGAAUUUUUCUAAGUGUGCGAGGCUGCGUCCCCCAGUUGGCUUUGGUUACCUCAUGCAGGUCGAGCGCGCCCCCCGCGGCGCGCGUCACGCAUCAGACCUCUAAUCGGAAAAG
rnacentral:rRNA from 1 species